rnacentral:ncRNA from 1 species
UAUCUGGUUGAUCCUGCCAGUAGUCAUAUGCUUGUCUCAAAGAUUAAGCCAUGCAUGUCUAAGUAUAAGCAAUUUAUACAGUGAAACUGCGAAUGGCUCAUUAAAUCAGUUAUCGUUUAUUUGAUAGUUUCUUUACUACAUGGAAUACCUGUGGUAAUUCUAGAGCUAAUACAUGCUUAAAAUCCCAACUUACGAAGGGAUGUAUUUAUUAGAUAAAAAAUCAAUGUCUUCGGACUUCUGAUGAUUCAUAAUAACUUUUCGAAUCGCAUGGCUUUAUGCUGGCGAUGGUUCAUUCAAAUUUCUGCCCUAUCAACUUUUGAUGGUAGGAUAGUGGCCUACCAUGGUUUCAACGGGUAACGGGGAAUAAGGGUUCGAUUCCGGAGAGGGAGCCUGAGAAACGGCUACCACAUCCAAGGAAGGCAGCAGGCGCGCAAAUUACCCAAUCCUAAUUCAGGGAGGUAGUGACAAUAAAUAACGAUACAGGGCUUUAUGUCUUGUAAUUGGAAUGAGUACAAUUUAAAUACCUUAACGAGGAACAAUUGGAGGGCAAGUCUGGUGCCAGCAGCCGCGGUAAUUCCAGCUCCAAUAGCGUAUAUUAAAGUUGUUGCAGUUAAAAAGCUCGUAGUUGAACUUUGGGCUUGGAGAAUCGGUCCAACUUUGUUGUGUACUGUCUUCUCCAGGUCUUUCCUUCUGGUUCUCAUUUGGGGUUUACUCCAUUUGUUGAUCCAGGAUUUUUACUUUGAAAAAAUUAGAGUGUUCAAAGCAGGCGUUUUGCUCGAAUAUAUUAGCAUGGAAUAAUAGAAUAGGACGAUUGGUUCUAUUUUGUUGGUUUCUAGGACCAUCGUAAUGAUUAAUAGGGACGGUCGGGGGCAUCAGUAUUCAGUUGUCAGAGGUGAAAUUCUUGGAUUUACUGAAGACUAACUACUGCGAAAGCAUUUGUCAAGGACGUUUUCAUUAAUCAAGAACGAAAGUUAGGGGAUCGAAGAUGAUCAGAUACCGUCGUAGUCUUAACCAUAAACUAUGCCGACUAGGGAUCGGGCGGUGCCUUUUAUUGGCCCACUCGGCACCUUACGAGAAAUCAAAGUUUUUGGGUUCUGGGGGGAGUAUGGUCGCAAGGCUGAAACUUAAAGGAAUUGACGGAAGGGCACCACCAGGAGUGGAGCCUGCGGCUUAAUUUGACUCAACACGGGGAAACUCACCAGGUCCAGACACAAUAAGGAUUGACAGAUUGAGAGCUCUUUCUUGAUUUUGUGGGUGGUGGUGCAUGGCCGUUCUUAGUUGGU